UGGGGAAUAUUGCACAAUGGGCGCAAGCCUGAUGCAGCCAUGCCGCGUGUAUGAAGAAGGCCUUCGGGUUGUAAAGUACUUUCAGCGAGGAGGAAGGCGUUGUGGUUAAUAACCGCAACGAUUGACGUUACUCGCAGAAGAAGCACCGGCUAACUCCGUGCCAGCAGCCGCGGUAAUACGGAGGGUGCAAGCGUUAAUCGGAAUUACUGGGCGUAAAGCGCACGCAGGCGGUCUGUCAAGUCGGAUGUGAAAUCCCCGGGCUCAACCUGGGAACUGGAUCCGAAACUGGCAGGCUAGAGUCUUGUAGAGGGGAGUAGAAUUCCAGGUGUAGCGGUGAAAUGCGUAGAGAUCUGGAGGUAUACCGGUGGCGAAGGCGGCCGCCUGGACAAAGACUGACGCUCAGGUGCGAAAGCGUGGGGAGCAAACA
rnacentral:rRNA from 1 species